UACGGAGGGGGCUAGCGUUGUUCGGAAUUACUGGGCGUAAAGCGCACGUAGGCGGCUUUGUAAGUUAGAGGUGAAAGCCCAGGGCUUAACCCUGGAAUUGCCUUUAAGACUGCAUCGCUCGAAUUGUGGAGAGGUGAGUGGAAUUCCGAGUGUAGAGGUGAAAUUCGUAGAUAUUCGGAAGAACACCAGUGGCGAAGGCGACUCACUGGACACAUAUUGACGCUGAGGUGGCGAAAGCGUGGGGAG
rnacentral:rRNA from 1 species